ACCAUCGACAAUGGCAACACCUGCAAGUUCUGGCAGGAUCACUGGCUCAACGGGCGCUCCAUCCCCGAGAUUGCUCCUACCCUUUCUGCCCUCAUCCCGAGGCGCCGCCGAAGCCAACGCCUUGUCAGCGACGCUCUCAACAACAGAGGCUGGAUCGCCGACAUCCACGGCACCUAA
rnacentral:rRNA from 1 species